ensembl:ncRNA F55C12.13 ncRNA
CAGCACUCUCUUCAUGCACCUUUUGUGAAGCUUCAAGCAUGAGAAAUGAGGAACAUGUUAUCAAAUAUCAAAUAUUUGAUAACUCGCUCUGUUAGUUUUUGUGGAUUUUUGUGGAGUGCCUUAAAAGAAAAAAAUAAAAUAAACGAA